ACGGAAGGCAGCAGUGGGGAAUAUUGGGCAAUGGGCGAAAGCCUGACCCAGCAACGCCGCGUGAGGGAAGAAGGUUUUCGGAUUGUAAACCUCUGUCCUAGGUGACGAAGGAAGUGACGGUAGCCAAGGAGGAAGCCCCGGCUAACUACGUGCCAGCAGCCGCGGUAAUACGUAGGGGGCGAGCGUUGUCCGGAUUUACUGGGUGUAAAGGGCGCGUAGGCGGGGAUGCAAGUCAGGUGUGAAAACUAUGGGCUUAACCCAUAAACUGCAUUUAAAACUGUAUCUCUUGAGUGCUGGAGAGGUAGACGGAAUUCCUUGUGUAGCGGUGAAAUGCGUAGAUAUAAGGAAGAACACCAGUGGCGAAGGCGGUCUACUGGACAGUAACUGACGCUGAGGCGCGAAAGCGUGGGGAGCAAACAGGAUUAGAUACCCUGGUA
rnacentral:rRNA from 1 species